rnacentral:rRNA from 1 species
GACGAACGCUGGCGGCGUGCUUAACACAUGCAAGUCGAGCGAUGAAGUUCCUUCGGGAAUGGAUUAGCGGCGGACGGGUGAGUAACACGUGGGUAACCUGCCUCAUAGAGGGGAACAGCCUUUCGAAAGGAAGAUUAAUACCGCAUAAGAUUGUAGCUUCGCAUGAAGUAGCAAUUAAAGGAGUAAUCCGCUAUGAGAUGGACCCGCGUCGCAUUAGCUAGUUGGUGAGGUAACGGCUCACCAAGGCGACGAUGCGUAGCCGACCUGAGAGGGUGAUCGGCCACAUUGGGACUGAGACACGGCCCAGACUCCUACGGGAGGCAGCAGUGGGGAAUAUUGCACAAUGGGGGAAACCCUGAUGCAGCAACGCCGCGUGAGUGAUGACGGUCUUCGGAUUGUAAAGCUCUGUCUUCAGGGACGAUAAUGACGGUACCUGAGGAGGAAGCCACGGCUAACUACGUGCCAGCCGCCGCCGUAAAAC